CGAACGGGUGAGUAAUGCGUGACCAACCUCGCCCAUGCUCCAGAAUAGCUCUUGGAAACGGGUGGUAAUGCUGGAUGCUCCAACUUGACGCAUGUCUUGUUGGGAAAGUGUUUAGUGGCAUGGGAUGGGGUCGCGUCCUAUCAGCUUGUAGGCGGGGUAAUGGCCCACCUAGGCUUCGACGGGUAGCCGGCCUGAGAGGGCGGACGGCCACAUUGGGACUGAGAUACGGCCCAGACUCCUACGGGAGGCAGCAGUC
rnacentral:rRNA from 1 species